rnacentral:rRNA from 1 species
AAUGUUUGGAGCCGCAAGGUUCCAUUUGCUUAGAGAGGGGUCAAUGUCCUAUCAGCUAGUUGGUAGGGUAAUGGCCUACCAAGGCUAAGACGGGUAGCCGGCCUGAGAGGGUGGUCGGCCACACUGGGACUGAGACACUGCCCAGACUCCUACGGGAGGCUGCAGUCGAGAAUCUUUCGCAAUGCCCGUAAGGGUGACGAAGCGACGCCGCGUGUGGGAAGAAGGCCUUCGGGUUGUAAACCACUGUCGGGAGAUUAAGAAAUGUAAGGGUGUUAAUAGCAUCCUUACUUGACUAAGGCUCCGGAGGAGGCCACGGCUAACUCUGUGCCAGCAGCCGCGGUAAUACAGAGGCGGCAAGCGUUGUUCGGAAUUAUUGGGCGUAAAGAGCACGUAGGCGGCCUUGUAAGUCAGUUGUGGAAGCCUUCUGCUCAACGGAAGAACAGCAUCUGAUACUGCAAGGCUAGAGUGCGGAAGGGGAGAGUGGAACUUCUGGUGGAGCGGUGAAAUGCGUAGAUAUCAGAAGGAACACCGGCGGCGAAGGCGACUCUCUGGUCCGUAACUGACGCUGAGUGUGCGAAAGCUAGGGGAGCAAACGGGAUUAGAUACCCCGGUAGUCCUAGCCGUAAACGAUGGGCACUAAGUAGAGGGGUUUUGAUUAUCUCUCUGCCGGAGCUAACGCAUUAAGUGCCCCGCCUGGGGAGUACGGCCGCAAGGCUAAAACUCAAAAGAAUUGACGGGGGCUCGCACAAGCGGUGGAGCAUGUGGCUUAAUUCGAUGCAACGCGAAGAACCUUACCGGGGUUUGACAUGGUAGAAGUAGGAGCCUGAAAGGGUAACGAACGGUAUCCAGUCCGUGACUAUCACAGGUGUUGCAUGGCUGUCGUCAGCUCGUGUCGUGAGACGUUGGGUUAAGUCCCCUAACGAGCGAAACCCUUGUCUUUAGUUGCCAACAGGUCAUGCUGGGCACUUUAAAGAGACUGCCGUCGUCAAGACGGAGGAAGGUGGGGAUGACGUCAAGUCAUCAUGGCCCUUAUAUCCCGGGCUGCACACGUGCUACAAUGGUCGGUACAAAGGGAUGCUAAGUCGCAAGAUGGAGCGAAACCCAGAAAACCGAUCCCAGUUCAGAUUGGAGGCUGAAACCCGCCUCCAUGAAGUAGGAAUCGCUAGUAAUCGCGGAUCAGCUACGCCGCGGUGAAUAUGUUCCCGAGCCUUGUACACACCGCCCGUCAAGCCACCCAAGCAAGAUGCACCCAAAAUCACCGGCCAAACCCGCAAGGGAGGGAAGUGCUUAAGGUGUGUUUUGCGAGGAGGACUAAGUCGUAACAAGGUA